CAACUUUUAACAAUGGAUCUCUUGGUUCUCGCAUCGAUGAAGAACGUAGCAAAGUGCGAUAACUAGUGUGAAUUGCAUAUUCAGUGAAUCAUCGAGUCUUUGAACGCAACUUGCACUCAUUGGUAUUCC
rnacentral:rRNA from 1 species